rnacentral:rRNA from 1 species
UACGUAGGUGGCAAGCGUUGUCCGGAUUUACUGGGCGUAAAGAGUGCGUAGGCGGUUUUCUAAGUUUGGUGUGAAAUCUCCCGGCUCAACUGGGAGGGUGCGCCGAAGACUGGAAGGCUUGAGUAUGGGAGAGGUAAGCGGAAUUCCUGGUGUAGCGGUGAAAUGCGUAGAUAUCAGGAGGAACACCUGCGGUGUAGACGGCUUACUGGACCAUAACUGACGCUGAGGCACGAAAGCGUGGGUAGCAAACAGG